rnacentral:rRNA from 1 species
GAUGAACGCUAGCUAUAGGCUUAACACAUGCAAGUCGAGGGGAAACGGCAUUAUGUGCUUGCACAUUUUGGACGUCGACCGGCGCACGGGUGAGUAUCGCGUAUCCAACCUGCCCUUUACUUGGGGAUACCCCGUUGAAAGACGGCCUAAUACCCGAUGUAAUUCAUUGAUGGCAUCAGAUAUGAAUAAAAGAUUUAUCGGUAAAGGAUGGGGAUGCGUCUGAUUAGCUUGUUGGUGAGGUAAUGGCUCACCAAGGCGACGAUCAGUAGGGGUUCUGAGAGGAAGGUCCCCCACAUUGGAACUGAGACACGGUCCAAACUCCUACGGGAGGCAGCAGUGAGGAAUAUUGGUCAAUGGGCGCAAGCCUGAACCAGCCAAGUAGCGUGCAGGAAGACGGCCCUAUGGGUUGUAAACUGCUUUUAUACGAGAAUAAUUUGAUGCACGUGUGCGUUAUUGCAUGUAUCGUAUGAAUAAGGACCGGCUAAUUCCGUGCCAGCAGCCGCGGUAAUACGGAAGGUCCAGGCGUUAUCCGGAUUUAUUGGGUUUAAAGGGAGUGUAGGCGGUUUGUUAAGCGUGUUGUGAAAUUUAGGUGCUCAACAUUUAACUUGCAGCGCGAACUGUCAGACUUGAGUACACGCAACGUAUGCGGAAUUCAUGGUGUAGCGGUGAAAUGCUUAGAUAUCAUGAAGAACUCCGAUUGCGAAGGCAGCAUACGGGAGUGUAACUGACGCUUAAGCUCGAAGGUGCGGGUAUCGAACAGG